UUUCCGUAGGUGAACCUGCGGAAGGAUCAUUAUUGUAUAACCGAGGUGCGAGGGCUGUCGCUGUCCCGAAAGGUCGUGCACGCCCGAGUGCCCUCACACACAUCCAUCUCACCCCUAAGUGCACCACCGCGUGGGUCCCCCUUUGGCUUGUUCGGAGGGGGGCUUACGUUUUCACACAAACUUUGUAUGCAGUGUAGAAUGUAUUUUUUGUUUUUGCGAUCACGCAAUCAAUACAACUUUCAACAACGGAUCUCUUGGCUCUC
rnacentral:misc_RNA from 1 species